rnacentral:rRNA from 1 species
GACGAACGCUGGCGGCGUGCUUAACACAUGCAAGUCGAACGGAAAGGCCCUGCUUGCAGGGUACUCGAGUGGCGAACGGGUGAGUAACACGUGGGUGAUCUGCCCUGCACUUCGGGAUAAGCCUGGGAAACUGGGUCUAAUACCGGAUAGGAGCCAUUUUUAGUGUGAUGGUUGGAAAGUUUUUUCGGUGUAGGAUGAGCUCGCGGCCUAUCAGCUUGUUGGUGGGGUAAUGGCCUACCAAGGCGGCGACGGGUAGCCGGCCUGAGAGGGUGGGCGGCCAGGUUGGGGGGGAGGUAGAGCCGCGGCGCCAGCUGGACGCCGAGGCGGGGGGUGGGGGAGAAUGGGCGUCAGCUGGAUCACGCUUUGCCGCGGGAGGGAUGACGUCCUUCGGGUUGUAAACUAAAAAAGCUAGGGACGAAUCCGUGUCUGACGCUACUUAGAUAAUAAGCACCGGCAAGUUACGUG